CAUGGACGAGGACGCGCCGGCUGCCAGCGGCGGUGCUGGCCCCAAGAUCGAGGAGGUCGACUAAGUUAGUCGCUUUCAUAUACGCCAUUUGAUUCAGUCCUGGGUGCCAAUCAUAUCACCUGGGCUGGAAGUUUUGUUGUACUUUUGGUCUGUAGCAUCAGUGUCGUAAACAAUGCAAUGAUGCAUGUUUUGGCUCAUUGUUGAUUUCAGCUUAAUGCUUAUUGUUUGUACUACCUACACCUGUGAUUUCAUUCUGAAUUCUUAGAGCUUAAAUUUGGCUGUUGUCUCUGUAUUCGAGUUCAGAGUUAAGUUGCAGCAUGCCAUUCACGUUAGGGUAUUCCUUACAAGUCUGCAUCCUUUUCUGCUGCACUCCAGAGCUAUUCAGGCUAUGACUUCUAGAAAUUCUUUCUUGAGCUCAACCUAAAAUGCCGGGGUUGGGGGCUAUGUUCCAGGCUCAAACUCUUGUGGUAGACUCCUCUCCAAGGGAGCGCUUGGGGCAACUAACUUGACGUUGCAAAAAGUCUUUUGUCAUCCCUUCACUUUAGUCUUGCAGUGUUCCAAAUAUUGUAUCAUGAAGAAGACAUUUUCGAGAAAUUUCUUUGUACUCCCAACGUUCCUAAAUCUAAGCUUUUUUAGAGAUUCCAAAUAUGUAUGUCUAUAUACAUCUCAUAUUGAAAUCUCUAUUUAGAAGCGGAGGGAGUAGUUCUUAGUGAUAAGAGUUACUUUGUUUUCAGAUCACUGAUCCGAAUAGUGAGAAAUUGCGCCAGAUCCGGCAGUGGAGAAACGCCGUGGGAGUCGACGGCCUGGACGCCGCUGCUCUGGUGGCGGCUUGAGGGGAAAGUAGAGGGCGGUGGGCUGGGGAAGAAGAGGAUUUGGGGACAGGAAAGGGCCAGGGAAGAAGAUCACCAGCGGCUCAGUUGAAUAGGAAUGAUGUGGAUUGGGCUCGUGGCUGCCAUUUAGUUAGUUGCUGCUAUACGUCCUUCCGCAAAAAAAAAAGUACUGCUAUACGUUUGCUGCUAUGGAAAUACAUUUUGCCGCUAUAUAUAUAUAUAUAUAUAUAUAUUUGCUGCUAUUGGUGAGGGAGAGAGAAAGAUUGGCUUCUACUGAAUGUAUUCAGUCAGUGCUCUGUAGUGUAGAUUUAUUCAGAGCCUAGAUACUCUGCUGCUACAAAUGAAUACUCCUAUGUUGGAUGCUAGCUGAGACUUGUGAAUUUUGUUAGAUAUUGUUGCUGCUAGUUAGGCUAUAUGAGGUACUGCUCUAUGAAAUUUCUAUCAAAUUUUUGCAGAUGGAAGAAGACGAGAGUUUUCUUGACUUGUUGAGCAUCGGUGUCUGUAUAUAGAUAGAUCGUUUGAACUACGAUUGAUAGAACUAGUGUCAAAAACGUCUUACAUUAUGGGACGGAGGGAGUAGCUGUUAGGAUUAACCACUGCAGCUAGAAAUUGUUUGAAUUGCUGUUCAAAUGGUAGUUACUAUAAGAUACUACUUAAAUAUAUCUGCUGCAAAACUGAAUGUGUAUAUGAGGAAUCUUUAUAGACCAUUGUCUAUAUAAAUAUAUAGGCAUCCAAAUAUAUACUCCGUACAUGCUAUUGGAGAAAGCAAAACUUGCCAGUUGAGUUGAGUGAUCAUCUCAAACCGACGCAUCAUCAUCUGAUCAUGUAGAGCAGAGUAGAGGGGUGACAAAGCAGAGCGCCAGGAACGAAUCUCCUCGCUCACAUCCUUCCUGCGGUGUGGUGUCGCUCCCAUAAUCUCAUCUCCUGCCCUCAGUGUGAUAUGAGCUCCGAUGAGGGAGGGACAUGUCGGUCCGCCUGAUCGCCUUUUAAAUCCGCCGCUUCCCUCUCUUUCUUUGGCUUUAAUCAGGGGCUGAUCUGAUCCCCCCGAUGAGUCAUGUAGGCAAUAAUUCUGCAGGGCCAAAGCGGCGGCAGGCAUCCACACCACACCACACCGACGUACGACGAUGUACCCUACACUACAGAGUACACACACCCUAAAGAAGGAGAUCCCCCAUGAUCAUCAUCAUUAGUGCUGCCAUGAUCCUCUUUAAUCUGCCGUACGUACCAGAUAUAAUGCUGUCUCCCGCACAUACCAGGCCAAGCACUUGUUCCGCUGAAACAAGUAAAGCGAGCGAGCGAGCGCUCGUCGUCGCCUUUUCACCGGCGGUUGUGAAACGCGUUCUGACGGCGCCUGCUUUGCUUAACCCCCUCGUAUUGCGGCGAGGUAUAUUAUAGCCACUGAUCACCUGAGUUGAGUAGGGUCGGCGCUGGCCUAGUUCUCAGUGUGUGUGUGUUGUGGGCUUUACAAUGACGGCAGACCGGCCAUGGCCCAUGGGCGAGCUUUCCUGCCAUUCCGGUGGCCCAUGCACGCAUAAAAUACAUCCACCAACGGGCCCCGGUUGCCCGAAAAAACCUUGAGGUGUGUUCACAUCUUCCAAGUUUCGCAUUGCGGUUCCUUCUCUCUUCUGACGAGAAUUUCUCCUUUUUUGUUUGAGGGUAAAAUUUCUCCAUUUCCGCACCUUCCUUCUCAAGGCGAAAUAUAAAAUGGAGUAAGUUUUUUCAGUCCUUCACCGCAAAUCCUGUGUAGCGCAGCCCAGAUCCUCCGAAAUACGUAAGCUUGUUCGACCAAUGUCUUGCAGGCUUGGCUAGGCUACCUGUCACUGACCGUUGCAGCAUACAUUAUACCUCACCUUUCAGUAUUUUACAGCUCUCUGAUUUUAAAUUUUUCCCGUCGAAUGGGAGAAGAUGUGUAAGGUUGAUUAGGCUUGGGAGAUUCCUUCCUGGAUUAGAGAUGAACAGAGUAGCUCUUCAGGGAACAAACAAGUAAAGCUCAGCAGAACCCUAACUGCUAAAGCUACGCCCCACAAAGCGGAAUGAUGAAGUUUCAUAUACAACUCGGUCCAGCAGUGAUGCAUCAGCUGUCCUGUAUAGCGGCCAGCUGAACUUGCGAGCCCACAGUUUCUUGUUUUUUGUUUUUUGUUUUGGACUUGAGCAUACAGAAUUCGAAACACACACUAAACUAAGUGAACCGGAUCACGCUGACACCGUAGGCCAUACGCGUAGCUGCAGUUGCACCGCACAUAUAUUUUUCCAACCGGACUAACCCCCCUUUUUUUCUCCAUUAAUUGCACACAAAAGAAUGGAAAAUACAAAAUUCAUUACAAGAAAUUAAGGAUACAGAAGAUGAGGUAAAGAGUUGGCACUGUUUUAAAUUUGGACCCCAAUUUGGGGCAAACGUCAGACCUGGGAGGAAGUGAAAUCGAACGUUUCGUUUGAUCUACCUGGGGGGACCAAGCGAACGAUAUAGUUUGCUAUGCUACGACCCCGGCAUGAACACCUCCGACAUUGGGCCACGAGCUGUCAAAGCCUCAAGACGCCAUUUCCUAGAGAAAAAACAUGGAAACUAUUGGUUAAAAUACACAUAGUGAAGUUUCUUUAAUUUACCUAUGUGUGCUAUGGGGCAAACAAUAAAUAACAAAACUUGCCCUUGAUUAAAAAACGCAGGAGAUAAGGUUUGUUCGAAAAUAAUUCCAAAAAAUUACCAUGGUAAAAAGAAGUAAUUUACUAAAAAAAAUGAAUUUACCAUCAUAUGAUGAAAAAUGAAAAAUGUCGAAAUAUGGCAAAUUUAACAACUUUGUUUGUCAUGUCAUCAUAUUUCCCCCUAAAAACACGGCAAAACUACCAUGGGUUAAGUUGCCAUCCAGCAACAAUAGCUAAUAAACAAUAGAUGAAAAAUUUCCAUGGAAAGUAUAUGCAGCUGUAAAAACAAAAGUAAAAAUGUCACGUAAAUGUUGAGACCUGUAAUAAUUAGGUUUUUCCCUCAAAAUCAUGGCGAUUUUUGCCCUGGGAAGAGAAAUUGGACAUGGCAAAAAAUGUUGAGAUAUGGCAAAUUUAACAAGAUAAACAACUUGGCUUGUCAUGACAUCAUGUUUUCCCCUACAAACAUGGCAAAAUUGCCAUGGGUACAACAAGAAAUGGUAAGUUGCAAUUCAACAAUAGUAGCUAAACAAUUAAUAGGAAAGAUUCCCGUAGUGAAAGAACAACUGCAGUAGAUUAGGAAAUAGCAGAGCAUAUUAGUAGAAAAAAACUACUAGCAAAAAUGCACCAACUGAUUGAGUGACGGUCUGAGAAACGUCAACGCCGGUUGUCCAGCGUAGGCACCACAUAUCCAGGAGUGCGACUGUUCGAGCUCGAGCUCGUCGAGCCUAGGCCGAGCCCCACACACGCGACACCUGCUCGAGCUCGUUAGACUAGCAACAGUGGGAGUAACUUCGGUAGUAACAUCGAGUCCAACUCAGCAAUUUUGCUUAUGUGACAAUGAGUUAAUGAGGAGAGAUGUAGUACUAGUAACUUAGCUAGUUACUGUAACAUCACAUGUCCCAAUGCAAUAUGAGUCUAUAACGUAAUAAAUGAAGCUUUGCAUGUUACCACACUUAUGUUACUACCCACUAUUGAGGUAGUAACAUAGUCUAGGGAAAUAUGUAUGUUACUAGUGUAUGUUACUACCCAUUAUGGCUAGUCUUAGAACCUAGGCGGAGGCUCCUCUGCUACACCAUCACCUACCCUCUCGCUCGAGCUCCCACCGGGAUCGAUAGGCCGCAGGCUUCCUCCAGUGCACAACGUUGGGAUCUCCCGCAGCCUGCUCCUCUGUCGGCUACCCCGCUCAACUUCUUCCAUAUUCACCACUCCAGCCUCUGCUGGCCGCCACCCUCCCGCAGGGCCGUAACGUGGUGCCCGCGUGACGCAAUCCCUCCCACAUCACUGCAGUCCUCCCGCAGGCAAAGCCACCACACUCGCGCGCAACCCCCUCAUCGCUUCGACCACGAGACGACCUUCAUUUCUUCCCCGCCUGACCAACUGAUAACCCAUAAGACCACAAAAAGAUGUGGUAAGCAAUCCAAACAAUUUUUUUAAAAAAACUGAUAACCCAUAAGUAUAGAAGAUCGUUUGUAGCCUUUUUCGAUAAAUAAGAAUGUCGAACCCAACGAAGAGCUAAAGGUAGAACAAAUAUCCCCUCAAAUUCUAUCGACCACCGAUACAACUCUACGCAUAUUUUAACGGUUGCUUUACCUAAAACAAGUAUGAAACUAUUUUGUAGGUGUGAUGCUAGAACUACUUUGCAAAAAUAAACUACGAGUACUUUGCGAGAUAAUAAAAGUUAGUUUUUAGUAGAAAGAUUUUUAUCACACAAGAAAGUUAUUUGUCCCUAGGUAAUUGAUAACUAAACCGGCAAUCCUUAUUGCAAUUUUAUGAGGGAGAGGCAUGAGCUAACAUACUUUCCGUACUUGGAUCAUAUACACUUAUGAUUAGAAAUCUAGCAAGCAUCCGCAACUACCAAAGAUCAUUAAGAUAAAACCUAACCAUAGCAUUAAGUAUCAAGUCCUCUUUAUCGCAUACGCAACAACCCCCUUACUCGGGCGUAAACUUCUGUCACUCUAGCCACCCAUCAUAGUGAAUCAUAAACAUAUUGCAACAUCCUACAUCGGGGACCCCUCACGUUUGCACGACAUGGAGGGCACCAGAGGACAGCACCAAAAUAAAAUAUACAACUCAAACCAACCACAAUCAUCAAUCAACCCAUAGGACAAAACAGAUCUAGUCAAACAUUAUAGGAUAACCACAUAUCAUUGGAUAAUAAUAUAUAGUGUUGAGCACCACGUUUAAGUAGAGAAUUGCAAUAAAAAAUAGAGAGGUUACACCGCUGCAUAGAGGAGGAGAAAGUUGGUGUUGACGGUAGCAAGGUUGUUGAUGUAGAUCGCCGUCAUGAUCCUUGCCCUGGCGGCACUUUGGCGCCACCGGGAGAGAGGGGGGGAGAGCCCCCUCCUUCAUCUUCUUCCUUGCCCCCCCCUAGAUGGGAGGAGGGUUUCCCCUCUGGUCCAUGGCCUCCAUGGCAGCGGAGGGGCGAGAGCCCCUCCGAGAUUGGAUCUAUCUCUCUGUUCUCUUCUGUUUUCGUGUUCCUGUUUUCUGGCCCUUCACCAUUUCUUAAAUCCACGGAGAUGCGUAACUCCGACUGGCUGGAAUUUAACAUGAUUUUUUCCAUAAACUAUAUUUCUUGCAGCAAAAGAAGGGGGUCAACCGACCUACGAGGCUCUCACUAACCACCACGGCGCGCCAAACCCCCCCGGGCGCACCCUGGUGGUUAGUGGGCCCCUUGAGCACCGUCUUGUGUUGAUUCUUCUUCCAUAAAUUCACAUAUAUUCAAAAAAAAUCUCCGUAAAGUUUUAUCGCGUGUGGACUUCGUUUGAUAUGGAUAUUCUGUGAAUCAAAAAACAUGCAACAAACAGGAACUGACAGUGGCACUGGAUCAUUAUGUUAGUCCAAAAAAUCAUAUAAAUUGUUGCCAAAAGUAUGUGAAAGUUGUAUAAUAUUGGCAUAGAACAAUAAAAAAAUUAUAGAUACGACGGAGACGUAUCAGUAAUUCCUGCUCGUCCUCGAGUAGGUAAAUGAUAAAAAAGAUAAUUUUUGAUGUGGAAUGCUACGUAGCAUAAUAUUAAUCAUAUAUCUAAUCAUGGUAUGAAUAUUAAGACACGGGUGAUUCAAAGCAAUAGUCUAUAAUUUGACAUAAAGACACCAAUACUCAGGCAUCCCAACAAACAAUCAUGUGUUUCAAAAUAUCAAUGCUAAAGAACACUAUCCCUACAAAAUCAUAAAGUCUUGUCGUGCUUCAUCUUCUUAACACAAAGUAUUUAUCAUGCACAACCCCGAUGACAAACCCAACAAUUGGUUCAUACUUUUUAACGCGCUUCAGCUUUUUCAACCCCCACGCAAUACAUGCACAAGCCAUGGACAUAUCACUAUGGGUGGAAUAGAGUAUGAUGAUAGGGGUAAACAUAGAGAAGACAAAAAAGUAAUCAACGGGCUAUGGAGAUGCCCAUCAAUUGAUAUCAAUGCGAGAAGUAGGGAUUGCCAUGCAACAGAUGCACUAAGAGCUAUAAGUGUAUGAAAGCUCAAUAUGAAAACUAAGUGGGUGUGCAUCCAACUUGCUUGCUCAUGAAGGCCUCGGGCAUUUGAGGAAGCCCAUCAUUGGAAUAUACAAGCCAAGUUCUAUAAUGAAAAUUUCCCACUAGUAUAUGAAAGUGACAACAUGUGAGACUCUCUACAUGAAAAACAUGGUGCUACUCUGAAGCAAAGUGUGGUAAAUGAUAGUAACAUUGCCCCUUCUCUCUUUUUCUCUCGUUUUUUCUUUUUUUCUUCUUUUUUCUCGGUCUCUUUUCGGCCUCACUUUUUCUUUUCUCUUCUUCUUUUUUUCUUUUUGUCUGGAGUCUCAUCCUGACUUGUGGGGGAAUCAUAGUCUCCAUCAUCAUUUCCUCACUGGGACAUGCUCUAAUAAUGAAUAAUGAUGAUCAUCACACCUCUAUUUACUUACAACUCAAAAGAAAUAAAAAUUACAACUCGAUACCUAGAACAAUAUGACUCUAUAUGAAUGCCUCUGGCAGUGUACCAGGAUGUGCAAUGAUCUAGCGUAGCAAGGAUAUAUAAAAAAGGACAAGCAAUGAAAAUAUCAUGCUAGCUAUCUUACGAUCAUGCAAAGCAAUAUGACAAUGAAUGCUCAAGUCAUAAAAACGAAACCGUGGAAGAUGCAUGGCAAUAUAUCUCGGAAUGGGUAUGAAAAUGCCAUAAUAGGUAGGUAUGGUGGCUAUUUUGAGGAAGAUAUAAUGAGGCUUAUGUGUGAUAGAGCGUAUCAUAUCACAGGGUUUGGAUGCACCUGCGAAGUUUGCACCACAUCUCGAGGUGAGAAAGGGCAAUGCACGGCACCGUAGAGGCUAGCAAAUUGCGGAAAGAUAAGAGUGCGUAUAAUCCAUGGACUCACAUUAGUCAUAAAGAACUCACGAACUUAUUGAAAAAGUUUAUUAGCCCUUGAAGCAAAGUACUAAUAUGCAUGCCCCUACGGGGAUAGAUUGGUAGGAAAAGACCAUCGCUAGUCCCCGACCGCCACUCAUAAGGAAGACAAUCAAUAAUAAAUCAUGCUCCAACUUCUUAGCAUAACAAGAGACUAUACGUGCAUUCUUUGGGAAUCACAAACCUUAACACCAAUAUUAUUACUAACCACAACCAUUUACUAGUACCUUCCAUAUAUUAUCAUCUCUAUAUCGCAAAACUAUUGCAAGGAAUCAAACAUAUCAUAUUCAGUGAUCCAUAAGUUUUAUGUAGGAUUUUAUGACUAACCAUGCGAAUGACCAAUUCCUGUUGACUAUCUAAAUAGAUAUAAGUGAAGCAUGAGAGUUUAAUUCUUUCUACAAAAGACCAUGCUCAUGCUAUAAUAAAUAUAAGUGAAGCAAAAGAGCAUUCUACAAAUAACGGUUUUCCAUUUGAAGAGAAACACACAAUCCAAACUUCAAAUGAUAUAAGUGAAGCACAUGAAGCAUUCUACAAAGCCAUACUCAAAAGAUAUAAGUGAAGUGCAAAGAGCAUUCCAUAAAUCAACCAAGGACUAUCUCAUACCAGCAUGGUGCAUUACUAAAAUAAAAAGAAAAACACAGGACGCUCCAAGAUCUACGCAUAUCACGUGAACAAAACAAAAACCGAAACAUACCGUUACUUGUUGAAAAAAGAUGGGAUGCCUUCCGGGGCAUUGUCGGAGUAAAUGGCUACGGGUAGCCUAACCGACUCCCCCUGGCUCUUCGAAAAAUUAUC
rnacentral:lncRNA from 1 species